AUACGGAGGAUCCGAGCGUUAUCCGGAUUUAUUGGGUUUAAAGUGAGCGUAGGCGGACGCUUAAGUCAGUUGUGAAAGUUUGCGGCUCAACCGUGAAAUUGCAGUUGAUACUGGGUGCCUUGAGUACAGUAGAGGCAGGCGGAAUUCGUGGUGUAGCGGUGAAAUGCUUAGAUAUCACGAAGAACUCCGAUUGCGAAGGCAGCCUGCUGGACUGUAACUGACGCUGAUGCUCGAAAGUGUGGGUAUCAAACAGGAUUAGAUACCCUGGUAGUCCACACAGUAAACUAUGAAUACUCGCUGUUUGCGAUAUACAGUAAGCGGCCAAGCGAAAGCGUUAAGUAUUCCACCUGGGGAGUACGCCGGCAACGGUGAAACUCAAAGGAAUUGACGGGG
rnacentral:rRNA from 1 species